rfam:Oryza glaberrima chromosome 11 Oglab11_0028_3, whole genome shotgun sequence.
CAUUAGCUAUUAUCAAAGUUUUCGUGCUUAAUUUUGAUCGUCCGUCUUAUUUACAAUUUUUUUAAAUUAGUAUUUUUCUUGUUAUGAGAUGAUAAAAUAUGAAUAGUAAUUUACUUAUGAUUUAUGUUUUUAUUUUUUUUAAAAAAAAUUUAAAUAAGACAGACAAUCAAAGUUAAACGCGGAAAACUAUGGCUGUACUUAAA